UACGAGGGGAGCAAGCGUUUGUUCGGAAUUACUGGGCGUAAAGCGUGCGCAGGCGGUUUUGUAAGUUUGUCGUGAAAUCCCCGGGCUCAACCUGGGAAUGGCGAUGAAGACUGCAAGGCUAGAAUCUGGCAGAGGGGGGUAGAAUUCCACGUGUAGCAGUGAAAUGCGUAGAGAUGUGGAGGAACACCGAUGGCGAAGGCAGCCCCCUGGGUCAAGAUUGACGCUCAUGCACGAAAGCGUGGGGAGCAAACAGG
rnacentral:rRNA from 1 species